CCUAUUGAAGUCUGACGGAGCACGCCGCGUGAGUGAUGAAGGCUUUCGGGUCGUAAAACUCUGUUGUUAGGGAAGAACAAGUGCUAGUUGAAUAAGCUGGCACCUUGACGGUACCUAACCAGAAAGCCACGGCUAACUACGUGCCAGCAGCCGCGGUAAUACGUAGGUGGCAAGCGUUAUCCGGAAUUAUUGGGCGUAAAGCGCGCGCAGGUGGUUUCUUAAGUCUGAUGUGAAAGCCCACGGCUCAACCGUGGAGGGUCAUUGGAAACUGGGAGACUUGAGUGCAGAAGAGGAAAGUGGAAUUCCAUGUGUAGCGGUGAAAUGCGUAGAGAUAUGGAGGAACACCAGUGGCGAAGGCGACUUUCUGGUCUGUAACUGACACUGAGGCGCGAAAGCGUGGGGAGCAAACAGGAUUAGAUACCCUGGUAGUCCACGCCGUAAACGAUGAGUGCUAAGUGUUAGAGGGUUUCCGCCCUUUAGUGCUGAAGUUAACGCAUUAAGCACUCCGCCUGGGG
rnacentral:rRNA from 1 species